rnacentral:sRNA from 14 species
GUCAAUAACUCACCGCUAACUCACCCACGAGUAUAGCGGGAGCUUGUGAAAGCUCUUAGUUGACCAGUCUGAGUUCUUAGAGAACUACGUUAUUUUCAAGCGUUUAAAUUCCUACCUGGGGAUGCGUAGCUAGUCCCCAGCUCUAGA